GAUUUGUUGAAGCUGUUGAGGACCGGCAUUCUGUGGAAGAAACAAAGGAGCUCCCAGAGCCGUCCCUUCCCGGUCGGUGAAUUGGCACAUCACGUUAUUCACCGUUUCCACAUCCAUUUUUUUAAUUGCUCUGAAAUUAAGGACCUAUAAGUGUAUAUUUAUAUGUAUUGUAGCGAGAGUUUCAAUAUUGGAAUUGGGUGAGGUUUUGGGUUUU
rnacentral:misc_RNA from 1 species